rnacentral:piRNA from 1 species
UGGAAAACGGAAAGGAACAGGUCAGAUGGG